ensembl:sense_overlapping Gm45216 predicted gene 45216
CCUGAUAGUCAGAAAUGACCCCAGGAUCACUCUACCCUCGAAGAAGUUCAUUUGCAAGCAACUCACAAGCUCUCCAGCUAAAUGACCUGUCCCUUUCUCCAGCCCUCCAGUCAGUGUGACCGUCUUGCUCUUUUCAGGAGUUGGUUUGCCCAUUGUUCUUGCAGUUACUUUCAGGAUUCUUCCUUCUGAGUGAGCAGCUGCUGUUGGGCUAAAUGAGACCCAGUCUUCCGUCCGUGCUCGCUAUGGAGUAAAUGCCUCCUGGAGAAAGCAGAGAUAUUUUUUCAGGUGACAGAAAGCUGGCUAACCCACAACUACCAAGGAGAAGCAAAGAUAAAGGCAAUUGCCCAUGAAUGGUAAAAAUGAAUUAGGGCCCAAAUAGAUGGAUGGUAAAAACGCCACCUCUUCUCCCAACAAGCGACAUAGUCACUACUGAGAGGAGACCGAUGGCAGAGUAGACCAGCGAGGUGGAGUCCUCCUUAACCCAGCUAUCCCACAAAUCAGCACCAUGUGCCUCCUGCCACUGCACACUGCUGAUUCCAUAUCACUCUGGGUCUCCUCCCGCCAGAAUGUAAACUUCCUAAGCAUGGAGAAUGUCUCCAU